AAUAUAAGGAAUAACGUACAUCGUUUGUAGAGCAGUUAGUUUCAGUACCAUACUGCGUCUGGAUUCAUGGGGCCAGUAAGUAAAGGUCAAAAUUAUUCGAAAAUGACUUCAAAAUGCCAUAUCCUGAGGAAGAAAGCACUGGCUCAGUUUUCAAAUCUGCCAUCACUAGGUUACUUAAGUUCUACCUGUAUAAGGUUCCGUGGAAUUACGUACCUGGUUGUUUUGGCCUUAAUAAUUAUGGUCGCUUGGGUAAUAUUUUCUACAUCGCCUCAAACAGAA